GGUAGCUAAUACCGCAUAACGUCGCAAGACCAAAGAGGGGGACCUUCGGGCCUCUUGCCAUCGGAUGUGCCCAGAUGGGAUUAGCUAGUAGGUGGGGUAACGGCUCACCUAGGCGACGAUCCCUAGCUGGUCUGAGAGGAUGACCAGCCACACUGGAACUGAGACACGGUCCAGACUCCUACGGGAGGCAGCAGUGGGGAAUAUUGCACAAUGGGCGCAAGCCUGAUGCAGCCAUGCCGCGUGUAUGAAGAAGGCCUUCGGGUUGUAAAGUACUUUCAGCGGGGAGGAAGGGAGUAAAGUUAAUACCUUUGCUCAUUGACGUUACCCGCAGAAGAAGCACCGGCUAACUCCGUGCCAGCAGCCGCGGUAAUACGGAGGGUGCAAGCGUUAAUCGGAAUUACUGGGCGUAAAGCGCACGCAGGCGGUUUGUUAAGUCAGAUGUGAAAUCCCCGGGCUCAACCUGGGAACUGCAUCUGAUACUGGCAAGCUUGAGUCUCGUAGAGGGGGGUAGAAUUCCAGGUGUAGCGGUGAAAUGCGUAGAGAUCUGG
rnacentral:rRNA from 1 species